AAAUUAGAUGCUGUCUUCUCAGUGUUUUAAGCCCUAACUCCAACUCAGGGUUCAAAACGAAGUGUUGGAGGUGACACUCGGUCUUACCUAGUGGCGUCAUAACGAGUGGGUUGCUCCCAAGACCACCGAAAGUCCAGGAUAGAGGCAUGGCAUAUAGUCUAUGCAAAGGCAACAGGCUAACCCACUGCUCACUCCGGGAGUUCGAUCCUGAAGGGCUCAAGGUUGACUCAGCCUUCCAUCCUUCCGAGAUCAGUAAAAUAAGGACCCAGACUGUUGGGGGCAAUAGGCUGACCUAUUGUAAACCACUUAGAGAGGGCUGUAAAGCACCAUGAAGCAGUAUAUAAGUCUAAGUGCUGUUGCUAUUGCUUUUAGAAUCUGUACUGAAGGUAUUCAAUCAAAGUACCUUCAAACAAAAUGACCCCAUUAAAGCUUCACACCACCUGAUUAGAAGGUUUUUAUUUUAACCAAGUGUUGGAUGAACAUUAGUAUGGAAAUAAAGACAUAUUAUUGGAUUUGCAAAAUGAAAAACCCUGAUAAGCAACACGCAAGUUAGUGAUAUGACUAUAUAAAACAUACAAGAAUCUUUCUCAACUGCUUCACCUUGGACUCUGGUUUUUAAAAUCCUGCUUUUAUUUGCAAAUAAGAAUGCACUUAGAAACAUUUUAAAAGCAUACUGGGUUUUUCUUCAAUAAAGGCCCCAUUUCAGUCCUCUGUUAAAAUUCCACCUCUUCUUUUUUUUUUUCUCCCAAAAGUGUACCCAACUCACUUAGCUUUAAUCAUUCUAUCUCAUUCUAAAUUGUGCUUCAAACUUCUCAAACCUUUCUGUCCACAAUGGCUCUAAAAGUUGCCUUUCUUUUCUUCGAUGUAAGAUGUUCUACCCUGAUAGGUUGAGGGUGUGGGCAAGGAAAGACAUGCAUUUCUGCAGUCACUCCGUGUUGUGUCUCUGUAUGUGAACUACACCGAGGGUUGCCCAUACUUUGCUCUGGGUCAUGAGACCAAAAGACACCUGGAAGGACCGAGAAUGGAACAGCUGGCAACCUUCCAACCCACAUCCUUCCCUUCCAUAGGGAUGUUUUGGGAUAAAUAUUCUGGAUCUUUUCCCCUCUGUUCUCUGCAGCCCAUUUUUUAUUUGAUCUUUUUUCGGCCAACUUCUCCCUCAACCCCAAAAGUUGGUCCCAAUCUCCAUAUUUUUGGAAA